GGCCUCCUACUGGCCGUAGCUGCUCCCACCACACUCAGACUUGGAUGAGGUGUCAUGCUGUGAGGUUGGGCUACAGGCUCCCAUCUACCACCUGGAGGGCCUGGAGCCUCAGCCUGCAGGUCCAGUGACUCCAGCCCCAAACUGCUAUCACACGUAGUACAGGUACAAUGUGUUGCAAUGAAGUGUGUACUUCUCGUAUGGAAGUGGAAAAGCUAAAAGCCUGGAUGAUGACAAUUGAUAUUUGUGUUACCCGGGCCUGG